GGCCAGGCUGCCAGAGCGAGCAGUGACAACGUGCUGGGGUCCUCUUCCACGCUGUAGAAGCUUUGUUCUUUCGCUGUUUGCAAUAAAUAUUGCAACUGCUUACUCUUUGGGUCCACACUGCCUUUAAGAGCUGUAACACUCACUGUGAAGGUCUGCAGCUUCGUUCUUGAAGCCCGCGAGACCAUGAGCCCACUGGGAGGAACAAACAACUCCAGAUGCGCUGCCUUAAGAGCUGUAACGCUCACCGCAAAGGUCUGCAGCUUCACUCCUGAGCCAGCCAGACCACGAACCCCACCAGAAGGAAGAAACUCCGAACACAUCUGAACAUCAGAAGGAACAAACUCUGGACACGCCGCCUUUAAGAACUGUAACACUCACCGCGAGGGUCUGCGGCUUCAUUCUUAAAGUCAGUGAGACCAAGAACCCACCAAUUCCGGACACAAUAGGAGUGAGAUUGGGCUAUGUGUCCUUUAUCUUCUAGUACUCUAGCCCCUCUUUCCGAGACAUUUGGUAACGUUCCAGUAACAAAAUGAAAUCACAUGCCAGAACCCAGAAUUAGAAGAGGACACCACACAAAAUUACAUGGCAAGGGUACAAAGAAAAGUUGGAAUUGUAACAGGACCUUCCGGAUGUGAAAAUAAAUUUGGGAGAAGCAAUGAAAUCAACAAAGAAACACACAGAGCCAACAUAGGCAGAGUGAUUUUAAGGAGACACACUGAUCUGUAAGCCUUUAAGACUUGCCUAAAGCUGCAUAAACAUAUAGAAAAAUACAAAGGAAACAUUGUUUAGAAGGUGAAAUUCAGCUGACCAUGAAAGCCACAGAAUAAAAAAAGCUUCACUUUCUUCCUCUUUUACAUAUUGGGCUUUUAUAUAAGAUCUUGGUUUUAAAAAGAGGCUUGUUGCUUUUUAAAUAAAUUUUCAAAGAUGUUUCCAAUCUGGUUUGUUUGAAGAGCAUUUUGAAUUAGAUGCGCAUCUCCAUCAUGAGUUCUAAUGCCAUUAGGCUUGCCCCUUAUUUUCUUGGAGUCUCAGUUCCAGUCGGUGAUAAACAGGUAUAAAAUGUUUUAAAAUACUCUAGAGUUGUUUUGAUGAUUAAAUAAAAAAGUACAUAAUGUAUGUGUUACAUUUUAUUCCUCUUUCUUCCCUCUGUAUUAGUUCUCUUUCUAGUGUGAAAUAUCCUUUCAUUAAUGGUUCUAAGAAAAAAGCCCUAUCUCACCAAGGCUUGAAGACAAUUGUGAGAACAAAUUAUGUUCAUUUAGAUGAUAAUUUUAGAUAAGCAUGGCUUAUUUCACAUAUUC
rnacentral:lncRNA from 1 species